rnacentral:ncRNA from 1 species
CCCCCGUUCAUCUUAUUAUAAGGGGUGCUCACCUAUCUUUUGAUUGGGAAAGCGGCACAUACGAGGGGGUAGCGACUGUUUACUAAAAACACAGGACUCUGCUAAGUGGUAACACGAUGUAUAGAGUCUGACACCUGCCUGGUGCUGGAAGGUCAGAACGAGAAGUGUGGUAUGCUUUGAAUGGAAGCCCCGGUAAACGGCAGCGGUAACUCUAACUGUCCUAAGGUAGUGAAAUUCCUUGUCACAUAAGUAGCGACCAUGGCUCCAUCUUCACCGC